rnacentral:rRNA from 1 species
GACGAACGCUGGCGGCGUGCCUAAUACAUGCAAGUAGAACGCUGAAGCGAGGAGCUUGCUCUUCUUGGAUGAGUUGCGAACGGGUGAGUAACGCGUAGGUAACCUGCCUUGUAGCGGGGGAUAACUAUUGGAAACGAUAGCUAAUACCGCAUAACAAUGGAUGACACAUGUCAUUUAUUUGAAAGGGGCAAUUGCUCCACUACAAGAUGGACCUGCGUUGUAUUAGCUAGUAGGUGAGGUAAUGGCUCACCUAGGCGACGAUACAUAGCCGACCUGAGAGGGUGAUCGGCCACACUGGGACUGAGACACGGCCCAGACUCCUACGGGAGGCAGCAGUAGGGAAUCUUCGGCAAUGGGGGCAACCCUGACCGAGCAACGCCGCGUGAGUGAAGAAGGUUUUCGGAUCGUAAAGCUCUGUUGUAAGUCAAGAACGGGUGUGAGAGUGGAAAGUUCACACUGGGACGGUAGCUUACCAGAAAGGGACGGCUAACUACGU